GACAUGGGAUCAGAUCACACUGACAGACUGGACAUUAUUGAAGCCUCAAUACUUUCUGGCUGUGGACUCUCAGAGACUCACUGUGAAGUCGUGGCCUCAGCUCUGAAGUCCAACCCCUCCCAUCUGAGAGAGCUCGACCUGAGUAACAACAACCUGCUGGAUUCAGGAGUGAACCUGCUGUCUGCUGGACUGGAGAGUCCACACUGUAGACUGGAGACUCUGAGACUGAGUGGCUGUAACCUCUCAGAGAGAAGCUGUGAAGCUCUGUCCUCAGUCCUCAGCUCCCAGUCCUCUAGUCUGAGAGAGCUGGACCUGAGUAACAACAACCUGCAGGAUUCAGGAGUGAAGCUGCUGUCUGAUGGACUCGAGAGUCCACACUGUAAACUGGAAACUCUCAGGUCAGAUCAAGUUAGUUUGUCUUCAAUGAUGUAAAUGUGUCUCUAAACUAUCAGCUCCAUGCAGUGUAAACAGCCUCUCUCUUUCUGAAUCUUUGAAUUAGUUCAUCAGGAUUUCAGAUUUCAUAAACCUCUUUUUCACCAGGAAAUGAACCAGAACUAUGGAACCAGAGGAACUAAUCUCAGAGACUAAACUAGAGUCCAAAAGUCCUUUUUGUGAAUUCCUGUUUGUUUUUCCAUCCCAUCUUAAGAACCUUGUAGAACAGACAAACUUGAUCCACAGCGGAUUAAAAAAUGAUGGUGGAGUUUGAAACAUAAUUCACAUUCACAAUAAAACAUCACAGGCUCAUCCUGUUGUUGCUCUUAUUUAUGCUUUAUGAUGUUAUGUUUGAUAUAAUUAAUGAAUGAAAAGGAGAAAUGCAGAGGUGGAAAGAGACUGAAAACAUGAAUGUCUGUCUCUACAGUGACGAUCUGCUGAGAGUUUGAUGGUUGUUUAUUUCUGCUUUAGAACGUAACCGACAUGAAAUCAGUAUAUGAAGUUUAAUUUGUGUUUUUCACUCACUUUGUGCGCUCUCUCUCUCUCAUUAGCUCACUCGUCCCCUCUGCUGGUCACAACUCCUUG